UGCAGUCGAACGAUGAAGCCCUUCGGGGUGGAUUAGUGGCGAACGGGUGAGUAACACGUGGGCAAUCUGCCCUUCACUCUGGGACAAGCCCUGGAAACGGGGUCUAAUACCGGAUAACACUCCUCAGGGCAUCUUGAGGGGUUAAAAGCUCCGGCGGUGAAGGAUGAGCCCGCGGCCUAUCAGCUUGUUGGUGGGGUGAUGGCCUACCAAGGCGACGACGGGUAGCCGGCCUGAGAGGGCGACCGGCCACACUGGGACUGAGACACGGCCCAGACUCCUACGGGAGGCAGCAGUGGGGAAUAUUGCACAAUGGGCGAAAGCCUGAUGCAGCGACGCCGCGUGAGGGAUGACGGCCUUCGGGUUGUAAACCUCUUUCAGCAGGGAAGAAGCGAAAGUGACGGUACCUGCAGAAGAAGCGCCGGCUAACUACGUGCCAGCAGCCGCGGUAAUACGUAGGGCGCAAGCGUUGUCCGGAAUUAUUGGGCGUAAAGAGCUCGUAGGCGGCUUGUCACGUCGGAUGUGAAAGCCCGGGGCUUAACCCCGGGUCUGCAUUCGAUACGGGCUAGCUAGAGUGUGGUAGGGGAGAUCGGAAUUCCUGGUGUAGCGGUGAAAUGCGCAGAUAUCAGGAGGAACACCGGUGGCGAAGGCGGAUCUCUGGGCCAUUACUGACGCUGAGGAGCGAAAGCGUGGGGAGCGAACAGGAUUAGAUACCCUGGUAGUCCACGCCGUAAACGUUGGGAACUAGGUGUUGGCGACAUUCCACGUCGUCGGUGCCGCAGCUAACGCAUUAAGUUCCCCGCCUGGGGAGUACGGCCGCAAGGCUAAAACUC
rnacentral:rRNA from 1 species